AUUGAACGCUGGCGGCAUGCUUUACACAUGCAAGUCGAACGGCAGCGCGGGCUUCGGCCUGGCGGCGAGUGGCGAACGGGUGAGUAAUACAUCGGAACGUGCCCAGUAGUUUGGGAUAGCUCGGCGAAAUCCGGAUUAAUACCGCAUACGACCUUAGGGUGAAAGCGGGGGAUCUUCGGACCUCGCGCUAUUGGAGCGUCCGAUGGCAGAUUAGCUAGUUGGUGGGGUAAAGGCCUACCAAGGCGACGAUCUGUAGCUGGUCUGAGAGGACGACCAGCCACACUGGGACUGAGACACGGCCCAGACUCCUACGGGAGGCAGCAGUGGGGAAUUUUGGACAAUGGGCGAAAGCCUGAUCCAGCAAUGCCGCGUGUGUGAUGAAGGCCUUCGGGUUGUAAAGCACUUUUGGCGGGAAAGAAAAGGACUGUGCAAAUACCACGGUUCGAUGACGGUACCCGAAGAAUAAGCACCGGCUAACUACGUG
rnacentral:rRNA from 1 species